GGCGGAUGUAGCCAAGUGGAUCAAGGCAGUGGAUUGUGAAAACCCAUGCGCAA
rnacentral:tRNA from 1 species